rnacentral:rRNA from 1 species
AUUGAACGCUGGCGGCAUGCCUUACACAUGCAAGUCGAACGGUAACGGGCCUUCGGGUGCCGACGAGUGGCGAACGGGUGAGUAAUGUAUCGGAACGUACCUUUCAGUGGGGGAUAACGUAGCGAAAGUUACGCUAAUACCGCAUAUUCUGUGAGCAGGAAAGCAGGGGAUCGCAAGACCUUGCGCUGAUUGAGCGGCCGAUAUCAGAUUAGCUAGUUGGUGAGGUAAAGGCUCACCAAGGCGACGGUCUGUAGCGGGUCUGAGAGGAUGAUCCGCCACACUGGAACUGAGACACGGUCCAGACUCCUACGGGAGGCAGCAGUGGGGAAUUUUGGACAAUGGGGGCAACCCUGAUCCAGCCAUGCCGCGUGAGUGAAGAAGGCCUUCGGGUUGUAAAGCUCUUUCGGCCGGGAAGAAAUCGUAUCAGCUAAUACCUGGUGCGGAUGACGGUACCGGCAUAAGAAGCACCGGCUAACUACGUGCCAGCCGCCGCGGUAAUAC